UAGCUGGUCUGAGAGGAUGAUCAGCCACACUGGGACUGAGACACGGCCCAGACUCCUACGGGAGGCAGCAGUGGGGAAUUUUCCGCAAUGGGCGCAAGCCUGACGGAGCAACGCCGCGUGAGGGACGAAGGCCUCUGGGCUGUAAACCUCUUUUCUCAAGGAAGAAGACAUGACGGUACUUGAGGAAUAAGCCACGGCUAAUUCCGUGCCAGCAGCCGCGGUAAUACGGGAGUGGCAAGCGUUAUCCGGAAUUAUUGGGCGUAAAGCGUCCGCAGGCGGCCUUGAAAGUCUGUUGUUAAAGCGUGGAGCUCAACUCCAUUUCAGCAAUGGAAACUACAAGGCUAGAGUGUGGUAGGGGCAGAGGGAAUUCCCGGUGUAGCGGUGAAAUGCGUAGAUAUCGGGAAGAACACCAGUGGCGAAGGCGCUCUGCUGGGCCAUAACUGACGCUCAUGGACGAAAGCCAGGGGAGCGAAAGGGAUUAGAUACCCCUGUAGUCCUGGCCGUAAACGAUGAACACUAGGUGUCGGGAGAAUUAACCCUUUCGGUGUCGUAGCCAACGCGUUAAGUGUUCCGCCUGGGGAGUACGCACGCAAGUGUGAAACUCAAAGGAAUUGACGGGGGCCCGCACAAGCGGUGGAGUAUGUGGUUUAAUUCGAUGCAACGCGAAGAACCUUACCAGGGUUUGACAUCCUGCGAAUCCCUUGGAAACUUGGGAGUGCCUUCGGGAGCGCAGUGACAGGUGGUGCAUGGCUGUCGUCAGCUCGUGUCGUGAGAUGUUGGGUUAAGUCCCGCAACGAGCGCAACCCACGUCUUUAGUUGCCAGCAUUCAGUUGGGCACUCUAGAGAGACCGCCGGUGAUAAACCGGAGGAAGGUGUGGAUGACGUCAAGUCAUCAUGCCCCUUACAUCCUGGGCUACACACGUACUACAAUGCUACGGACAAAGGGCAGCAAACUCGCGAGAGCUAGCAAAUCCCAUAAACCGUGGCUCAGUUCAGAUCGUAGGCUGCAACUCGCCUGCGUGAAGGAGGAAUCGCUAGUAAUCGCAGGUCAGCAUACUGCGGUGAAUACGUUCCCGGGCCUUGUACACACCGCCCGUCACACCAUGGAAGUUGGCCAUGCCCGAAGUCGUUACUCCAACCCGCAAGGGAGGAGGACGCCGAAGGUGGGGCUGAUGACUGGGGUGAAGUCGUAACAAGGUAGCCGUACCGGAAGGUGCGGCUG
rnacentral:rRNA from 1 species